CCCACCCCCCCGUCUACAGACAGACGGGACCGGCAGAUGGCAGGGCAGCAGGGCUCUCUGAAGCCUCUACACCCUCAGGGGUUCCCUGAAAACAAGGCUGUGGGACCCCAAAGUGGGGCAGGGGUGAAAACGCAGACCCCACCUCUACGACUCUCCAGGCAGAAGGCCGCAGCCAGCUUGGCAGGAGGGACUGUGGCCUGAGUUGAGGGCAGAGGGGUGGCCAGGGUGGGAUCCCCCAGGGCCUUGCGGCCAAGCACAGGAAGAGUCGGGGUUGUAUCCUGGGUGCAGUGGGCAGCCGGGGGACAGCUUUGUAAGGACCCGUCUGAGCUGGGCCUCAGCGGCCCUCGGGAAGAAGCUUCAGCCUCGCGUGGAAGGUGGAGCCUAGGCGUUGAGCCCCUGAACUCAGCCGGAGCCGAGCUGCGUCCCCAUCGGCUGGUCAGGGGAGGGGAAAGCCUGCCUCCCGCAGGACCAGUGGAGACUCCGAAUCACACGGAGGACGGUGCCGUGCCGAUGCCCCCACACACCUGCCGGAGGGGGUCCGACAACAGACCGCCAAGCGCGGUGAGACGCUGGUCUGGGCCGGCGGGCACCAACAUCUCACGCACUUGGAAAUCCGUGGGGCGCUUCCCUGCACGGGUCAGCAGACAUGUGCCCCUGGGCCCAGCAGCGCCACCUCCAAGAGGAGGUUCCCAGAGAGCCGAGUACGGGCAUCCAGUCGCCUUGCCCCACACGGGCAGAGCUGGGAACAGGCCAGGCGGCCACACUGGGCGAACGGUUCAACCCGCCAUGGCCAAGGCUUCCAAGGGGCCACACAGCCAUGCACGAGAGGGUCCCGGUAAUGCAUUCUGCCCCCCCCCCCCCACAAGGCUGAGCAGAACACUAACCUGGACCUGGAGAAGGAACCCAGGUGGGCAAUGAGCCCACCCCUGGGCAGGGACCCCAGAAGUCUGUCCGCCUUGGAUAAGGCACAACCUUCCACCAGUGACAGAAAGAUCAGUGGUUGCCUGGGGGCUCGGGGAGGUGGGAUGCAUAAGCGCCGGGCCCAAGGGAACUUUCUGGGGGGUGAUGAUGGAAUGUUCUAGAUCUUGAUCCGGGUGGUGGUCACACACAGGUGUCCAAACUCAGCCCACUUUCCCCUUAAGACCUGUGUAUUUCACUGCAUGUAAAGACCUUAGUGAUUAAAAAAAACCCCAAAACCGUAUCUGUAAAAAGGGGUCUGUUUUUUGGGGUUGGGGCCCACGAUCUCCUGUCUCGAGCCGCCCAAGCUCCCCAGGCAAAGCAGAAGUUCUGUGCAAGUGGAAAGAGCCUCGCGCGGGGGCUCCUGAGGCCACCGCGCCCGCCUUCCUGCGGCAUAUCUGUCUUGUUAUUGCCAGAGCUGGAGAAUUGCUCCCGAGGCGGAAUCUUGAAUAUUCAUCUGAUUUACGGCCCGCUGCCGACAGCUUUAUGAAUCCGCCCACCAAUACCUGCAGCCAGUCAUCAAUCUUCCCCCGAGAUUGUGCCUUUGCCAGUAACUCAUGAAUUAAAGAGGCCCCCGGCGGCCCCCACGCCUCCCUCCCCUCGCGGCGCGGCGGGAUGGAAGGAGGGCCUGACCCGAAGUCAAAACACUGUUGUCGUCUUGCGGCGGAGGCUCUGGGUGACCUUGGAUGACUCACCCAGACUGUCUGCAGCGCGAGCAAGAGAAAACUUGGGAGCCUCAGGCCUACAGUGAACAGAGGAGGCCAUCGCCGUAAAGAGCUGACAUUUAUUAGGCGCUUACUGUGUGCCAAGCUCAUUCGGAACACCUGACGUGCGCCCCUUCUGUGAACUCCCACUAAGAGGAAGGACCAAUCCUGCGAGAUGCCCGUCACAGACACACCCAGAGGCCACGGGAAGGUGCCAACAUCUCCAGCUUGCCGGCUGUCUUCACCCCAGCCUGCGAGGGCCAUUCUGACCUGGACAGCCAUGCAGACUCUCGCGGGCAGCUGGGAGAGAGAACGGUGCAAACCCCAGGGAGGGCCCUUCACACACACCGGGGGGAGGGCAGUGGGCUUCCAGCAGCUGGCAGCUUGGUUGCCAGACGGGACUUUGGGGCCUCUCAUUCCUAGGCAGCGCGUCUGAAAAACUCGCAAAUUUCCUAACGUAACUCGGGGAGCCUUGAUUGUUAAUAAAACUGUCUCUUUA